CAAGUACUCCCUCCGUCCCAUAUUAAGCGACUCAAAUUUGUCCAAAUAUGGACGUAUCUAUAUACUAAAAUAUGUCUAGUUACAUGUAAUAGAAAGUCACUUAAUAUGGGACGGAGGGAGUAUAAC
rfam:Brachypodium distachyon strain Bd21 chromosome 2, whole genome shotgun sequence.